GCGAACUGGGCUUUGGGUGCCAAACAAACCUGGGCUUUAGUGGGCCAGGUGAAACUGGGCUUAUGGGCCGGGUGAGCUUGGCUUAGGGGCCCAGGCGAAACUGGGCUUAGGGGCCCGUGUAAAAACUGGGCUUUGGGGCCAACGUGAAACUAGGCUUAGGAGCCAGCGUGAAACUGGGCUUGGGGGCCAGGUGAAACUGGGUUUUGGGGCCAGGCGAAACUGGGCUUAUGGUCUAGCGUAGAAACUAGGCUUUGGGGCCAGCGUGAAACUGGGCUUAGGGGCCAGCG
rnacentral:lncRNA from 1 species